AUUUGAAAAGAAUUCCGUUUGCGUACGUUGCGUUGCAGUUUAUUGAGCUCGAUCGAGAAGUGUGACGAAGAAGGCCGUUAAUAAUUCAACUACUUAAAGAAUACGGGUCAGAUAUGGACAACGACUUCGAACAUAUUUGCAGUAUAGGCUAAACAGAGAAAGAGAGGGAGACCCAAAACUACCUGUCCUGGCUUCACAUUUGAGGAGGAGAUGAAGUCGGAGAAUAUGACCUAGCCCGGGGGAGUUUCCAGAAGACGGUCCAGAACCACUGGCAGCCAGAAGUGGAGGUCCUUUGUUGUUGCUCUACAUGUCAGGAGGCAUCGGGCAGUACAUGUAGGUAAGACAAUCCCUGGUAUAAGCACCAUCUUGAUACCAUCAUUCAAACUCUCAUCAGCUGUAUCAUUAUAGGUGGACUAAAAGAACAAUAUUCAUGCAGAUAUAAUGAUGCCUUAAGUUGAAAUGGAAGGUGUCCUGAAUAUGCACCAAUUCAUCUGGUUUCGUAACUCCUUUCAUACUGCUAUUGGAACCUGCUCCCUACCAGUAUAACAUCAAACAGAUUGGAAGAAUAAAGGCCAAUGGGUAGUGCCUUUUAUAUUUCUACUUGCCACAAAGCAGUCCAUGGUUUAGCGCAAUCUAAACUGGACUAUUGUAAUGCUCUUCGUGCUUGAAUUAGGGCGAUCUGGACUGACUGCAGAUAGUACAGAAUGCUGCAUCUAUUGUGCCAUUUGCCAUACGCCAACUUCGCUGGCUGCAAGUCAAGGAAAGGAUAUACAUGAACAUCAGUGUCCCUCUCCUGAUUUUCAAAGUCAAUGACAGAGAUCCAGAUUACAUGUAUUCUAAGGAAUCCCUUGUGCGUCAUUUUCAUUCCAGGCGCACUUGCCUUUUUAUUUUUGUGAUCAUUACGCACCUACAAAUUAGCUACUGGUGAUGCAACUUUCUCCACUACUGCUCCAAGGCCAUGGAAUUAGCUCCUUCCUCUCCUCCAGUUGUCAACAACCUCAAUCCAAAUACAAUUUGAGAAGACCUACCAUAUUCCUGAUCUUUGCUCUGUACUUCCAACAAUACUGUCACUGCCUGGUAAUUUGAUUUUUUUUUAAUCUCAUGGAUGGCAUCUCAAAGCGCUUUGUAUCUCGCAAAAUAAUGUGUUGUGUAAAAUCGAACACGCAUUGAGGUCAAGCAUAAGGGUAACCAUGGAUAUUGCCUUUUAUUACUUUUUAACAAAAGUGAAAAAUUAAUCCAAAUUAGACAAGGGAUAAUAAAGUAAUGUAUGACAUUCUAACCUCUGCAUUAUUUUGGUGAAAGAGCUCUAAGCAUAUGCAAGUAGCAAGCUGAUGAUGUCAUACUGACGUACAUUGUACGUGUACAUGUAUCCCCAACCUAUUAUUUUGUAUAUAAAAUUGUGCAUUUAAUUUUGUUUACCAAGAAUGAAACAAAUCGGAUUGUAAACUGUAUUGAUGUGACUUACCUGUAUUGAUUAUUGCUGGAAGUUCUUUUGCUACAUGGGAUUGGAAGACAUACCUAUUACACACAUGAAGUAAAUUAUUAUUUUAUCUGGUAACAUGAAAACAAUAAAAAUGUGGGCAUGAUAUCAUAAACUUACAUGUAUCUACUUGCAUGUGUUGAUGACCAAUAUUUUUGUAAAUAUUUUAUUAAUUUUAUCUGGUUUUGAUAAAAUUUUCACUAUUUUGCAUGGUAAAAAUUACUUUAUUUUAGAUUAUGUUGAGCCCGUAUCAUAUACAAAUAUACCUUUAAAGAUAAAUUACCAGUUGAAGUAACAAUCUUAACCCUUUGCGUGCGACGGGCUUCCACAGAAGCCCAGCGAGUCGUUCACUUAGCUACGACGGGCUUCUACAGAAGCCGAGAAAUGUUUGGUUUAAUUCAAUUAAGUUUUUCAGCUUUUUCGUAAUUGUUAUGUACUAAAACCUCUGCCACUAUUUCCUUCAUAAACCUAUUUCGAUAACAGAUUGAAAAAAAUAUACAGCUACGUGGGGAAAAAUCCCUAAAAUAGGAAAUCAUUUCAACUUUACCCGAUUUUUUCGUUGGAGUCGGACGGGGAGGAUAAAUUUUGUGACGAGCACGUACGCGCGCGCAUAAGGCCUGAUCACGUGAUUUGUUCUUAUCACGUGAUUUGUUCUGAUCACAUGAUUUGAUCCAUAUCGUUGUUCUGAUAGAUAUACGCUAACAUCUUUUCUGCAAGAUCGUCACGUAAUAAGCUACGCGUUUAUUCACCAUUUUCGUCUUACACUGUAUUUGUUUAAUCAAGAAGAUAUCACUCUAGAUUGAAUGAUAUCUCCUUGGUUUCAUCGAUCGAUUGCAUUUUCAGAAAAGCAAAAAGCUUGUAAUGUCUUAGUACUUUGAGCUGAUCUCGGUGCACUUUUGAACUUUUUUCCUCCCCAUCAUCCUUCUUCUUCUCAUUAUUUUUGUCUACUAUUCUGAAAAAAAGGAGAAAAGAAAGCAAUUUAGCACACCAUUCAUCUUCUGCUCUUUUCAAAAGGGGAACGUCCAUGUAGUUCAUGAUAUCGGCACUACCCGAACAAAAGAAUGUCUGGGCGGCCACUCAAACAAUUUCCUACCGAAAAGAGCAGGAUACAGAUGGUCAACGCCCCGAACAAAAGGAAGAUUAGUGUUUAUCGGCAGGAUGACCCAUUGAACGCUUUUCGUACUUAGCAAUACAAAAAGCUUUUAUGAAACCCUUUUUUCGACCAACAUACCGUAUCUAAAAAAAAAAUGUCUCAUUACCGACAACACAGGUGCUUAUGACAUUCGUCAGUGAUUCAUAUUGCAAAAAGGUGCUUCCCCUGGGUGAUGAUGCAUAUAAGGAUGAACGAAUAAUUAUUUAGGGAAAUUAUCGAAAAAAUAUGUUCAAAUGUCUGGGAGGACGAGAGAGAAUGAGAGACAGAGAUAAAAGGGGAAACAGACAAGUGCGCUUUUGCUAAAAUUCCAUGAAUAUCUACUUAAACGAAUUACAACAUUACUUUAUUUUUUGGUUAGAUUACUUUUAAAAAAUCCCACAAUGUUUGUUUGUUGCAACUCGGUCCUCAGACCCUUGCCAAACUGAUGACUUUUUAUCAUUGUUCUUGUUUGACCCCCCCCCCCUUCCCGAUGGAAAUGUUCUGACCUACACUCUAAUAUUGCUUGUUUGUCUCCUCUCUCCGAUUUUAUGUUUUUAAUUGCGAGUAACGCGGUAGAAAAGAUAAGAAUAAAGACCGUCCUGUCCUUUUCCCCCGUUACGACAAAAAAAAAAUGCAUUUUGGGCGCUUACCAUGGUUAGCAUCUAAACCAAAAUGUUUGGAAAAAGAUGUUAUACAGGGACAGCAAUGUUUUUAUGGUGCAGGUGUUGAGCUGUGGGACGGGGAUGAAGCGGCUAAAAAAAUUUGUUAAUUCAUGUCAUUUUACAGAAUGAAUUUAUAAUAGGUUAGGUUUUAAAAUAUCUUCAUUUUAUUUCCUUUUCUCACCCAGAUGAAAACAUUUGCAUUGAAAAGUUGACAGAAACAUAAUUACUUCAAAUGAUAAAACCAAUAAUGAACUAAAAGUUUCCUCUCGCGAAAUGGAGGAAACAGAAUGAUACAGGGUGAUAAAUUACGCUAAGGCACCCCCUAUAAAGAAAACCCGUUUGUAUGGCGUGUCACCCGAUAGAAUCCUGUCAAUCCUACAAACUUUUAUUCAUGUGUAACCUACACCCCCCCAAAAAAAAUGUUAAUACCGACCCAAAUUUUAUUGAUUUUUCUACUUUUUUGCCAAUUUCUUUCUCAUUUUUUAAACUGGCGAAUAGCGUGGUAGAAAAGAUUCAUAGUGGAAAAAAAUGUUUCCGUGACUGAAUGUGGGAGGGAGUGGACCGGCCGAAAAAAAAAAUCAGAAAUUUAUAUAGACUUCGGAUUUUUUGUACAUUGCUGAAAGCUGAAAGGGGUGAGGACGGUGAGGACUGAAACUUCCUACGAACUCUGCCGCCUCUGUACUAUUAGAUUCAACGAUUAAAACGAUAGAGACAUAAUGAAUUCUAACUAUUGUGAAUGUUUUUUUUUAAUGAUUUAUUAUCGGUUGUGAAAUCAAGGAGACAAUAGAGCAAAACGAAAGAACAAAUAAAAAAAAAACACUUAUGAUUGCGGAUGCUAUAAUAUAUUCAAGAAAAAAUACUUUCUUUUACUUUAAAUAAUUGCUUUGCUCUUUUUGAGGGAAUAGUAAGAUAAAGAAAUGUAGAAAGUGACAUGAAGAGAGUUGGGAGGUAUGAUUUCAGACUUACAAUUUUAGUCACUUUUAUUCGUUUAACUCUUUGAAAUAAUUUCAGGAUAUUACAAAUCCAAUACCGAUGCGCAAACUUCAAGAACAAAAUUAUUUUAUUACUAACUAUAAUAUCUGCGUGGGAAAUCGAAUUAAAUGAAACAUAUAAUUUAUAAAAAAAUCUUAAAAGGAAAAUUACUUUUAGUGAAAGCUUGAGGCCUCUGUCUUGCCAUAAACCUAAGCCCCAGGUUCACAAAAAAAAUAGUUUAGUCGUGCAUUUUUAUACGAUGAUGAUGAUGAUCAUCAUCAUAUUGUUUUUUGCGAAAGAUAUCUACCCACUUUAUCAAUAUAGAAAAUGGAAGAUGAUAUAGAAUUUAUUGUGAAAUGACAGUUACAAUAGUAAUUUUAGAAGGUUUUUCGGGACAUUAUUUGAGAAACAGGGAAAAAAAACCCCAAAAUUUUCGACAUGACCACGAUACAAUAGGACGAGAGGCCCACAAAUGCAACCAUCUCCGAUCAAUACAAGUUGGCAAAAACGAGGCAUUCUCUCGGAACCGUUACCGAUGAAGAGAGAGAGAGAGGAGGGGGGGAGAUGUUAGAUGUAAUGUAAAAUGACAGGUACUGAGAAGAAAAAAUCAGAAAGAAAGGAUUGAGGAGGGGGUGGGGGCGGAUAUAUACCUCGUAAUCCAAAUUGGGAAGAAAGAAGACGAUACAGAUAUAAUUC